CCGCUGCCUUUCUCAACAUCAGCACUGGCUAUUAGCUAGCUCCUGCUAGCUCCAACAAAGCAUCUCUCAACUGCUACAAGGUCCAACUUGACACACAACUUGAAUCCAACCAGACUGAACACUGACUCCAGGGACAGACGAGCCUGAAGGACACAGCUGUGAUGACCAUGUUCUGUCUCUUAUGGCAAAGCAGAAAUAUAAAACACUGGGUUCUUAUCUAAAGUGUAUCAAAUCAGAUCUCCACCAUGUUGCUGCUGAGGACAUCAGGUGCUGCAGUUCUUCAUCUAUGAAGAGAAAAAACUCACUGUUAAAGAAUGUUUUGUGUUGUGUAUGAAGCACAACAGAUUUCAGAUAGAA